UUCAAAUCAAAUCAAGGCAUGUUUUUUUGCUUGGCGACAGUUUUAUGCGUUGAAAAUGUCCGACGCAACGCAAAAAGUGAAACCACACGAGCAACGGUACAGUUUCUCGACCGCACGGAAAUAAGUGUUUGUUCGAAAUCCAACUAGACGAAGACACACUGCAAAGAAGCGCCUCCCGGUAUUUACACACUCUGAAGGCCAGACUUGUUGCAGCACAGGUAACGGUGGAGGUAACCGUUGUUUUCCAGCCAGGUCUUCUAGUAUGUGGUACGCCCACGGCUAAGUACGGAAAAGGGCACACGCGGGCGCAAUUGAAUCUGAGCAGUACGGUGGCACGGUAGCGCAGAUAUGACUACAGACGCUCCCCUAUACCGCUCGGCUUCAAGACGGAUAUGUUUUUGUUUUUUUUUCGAAAGGGCAUUGUGCUAGUCAUGCCAGUCAUGCCUGCUAUACGACCAGCACCCACGUCAUGCAGAUCUGCUUAGAAUUUGUAGGACUA